rnacentral:rRNA from 2 species
GCCUAACACAUGCAAGUCGAGCGGUAGAGAGAAGCUUGCUUCUCUUGAGAGCGGCGGACGGGUGAGUAAUGCCUANGAAUCUGCCUGGUAGUGGGGGAUAACGUUCGGAAACGGACGCUAAUACCGCAUACGUCCUACGGGAGAAAGCAGGGGACCUUCGGGCCUUGCGCUAUCAGAUGAGCCUAGGUCGGAUUAGCUAGUUGGUGAGGUAAUGGCUCACCAAGGCGACGAUCCGUAACUGGUCUGAGAGGAUGAUCAGUCACACUGGAACUGAGACACNGUCCAGACUCCUACGGGAGGCAGCAGUGGGGAAUAUUGGACAAUGGGCGAAAGCCUGAUCCAGCCAUGCCGCGUGUGUGAAGAAGGUCUUCGGAUUGUAAAGCACUUUAAGUUGGGAGGAAGGGCAGUUACCUAAUACGUGAUUGUUUUGACGUUACCGACANAAUAAGCACCGGCUAACUCUGUGCCAGCAGCCGCGGUAAUACAGAGGGUGCAAGCGUUAAUCGGAAUUACUGGGCGUAAAGCGCGCGUAGGUGGUUUGUUAAGUUGGAUGUGAAAUCCCCGGGCUCAACCUGGGAACUGCAUUCAAAACUGACUGACUAGAGUGUGGUAGAGGGUGGUGGAAUUUCCUGUGUAGCGGUGAAAUGCGUAGAUAUAGAGAAGGAACACCAGUGGCGAAGGCGACCACCUGGACCAACACUGACACUGAGGUGCGAAAGCGUGGGGGAGCAAACAGGAUUAGAUACCCUGGUAGUCCACGCCGUAAACGAUGUCAACUAGCCGUUGGGAGCCUUGAGCUCUUAGUGGCGCAGCUAACGCAUUAAGUUGACCGCCUGGGGAGUACGGCCGCNAGGUUAAAAACUCAAAUGAAUUGACGGGGGGCCCGCACAAGCCGGUGGAGCAUGUGGUUUUAUUUCGAAGCAACGCGAAGAACCAUUACCAGGCCUUGNCAUCCAAUGCAACUUUACUAGAGAUAGAUUGCUGGCAUU